rnacentral:misc_RNA from 1 species
GAUGAAGAACGCAGCGAAAUGCGAUAAGUAAUGUGAAUUGCAGAAUUCAGUGAAUCAUCGAAUCUUUGAACGCACAUUGCGCCCCCUGGUAUUCCGGGGGGCAUGCCUGUUCGAGCGUCAUUUCACCACUCAAGCCUCGCUUGGUAUUGGGCAUCGCGGUCCGCCGCGCGCCUCAAAUCGACCGGCUGGGUCUUCUGUCCCCUAAGCGUUGUGGAAACUAUUCGCUAAAGGGUGUUCGGGAGGCUACGCCGUAAAACAACCCCAUUUCUAAGGUUGACCUCGGAUCAGGUAGGGAUACCCGCUGAACUUAAGCAUACCAAUAAGCGGAGGA